AGUGAACGCUGGCGGUAGGCCUAACACAUGCAAGUCGAACGGCAGCACAGUAAGAGCUUGCUCUUACGGGUGGCGAGUGGCGGACGGGUGAGGAAUACAUCGGAAUCUACUUUUUCGUGGGGGAUAACGUAGGGAAACUUACGCUAAUACCGCAUACGACCUACGGGUGAAAGCAGGGGAUCUUCGGACCCUGCGCGAUUGAAUGAGCCGAUGUCGGAUUAGCUAGUUGGCGGGGUAAAGGCCCACCAAGGCGACGAUCCGUAGCUGGUCUGAGAGGAUGAUCAGCCACACUGGAGCUGAGACACGGUCCAGACUCCUACGGGAGGCAGCAGUGGGGAAUAUUGGACAAUGGGCGCAAGCCUGAUCCAGCCAUACCGCGUGGGUGAAGAAGGCCUUCGGGUUGUAAAGCCCUUUUGUUGGGAAAGAAAAGCAGCAGGUUAAUACCCCGCUGUUCUGACGGUACCCAAAGAAUAAGCACCGGCUAACUUCGUG
rnacentral:rRNA from 1 species